UUUAAUUUUUAUAAUUGAUAUUAUUAAAUUAUAUAUAUAAUAUUAUUAAAAAUUAUUAAUUUAUAUUUUACAAAAUAUUAAUAAUAUUAUAAUUUUAUAAAAAAUAUUAGUUGGAGGGGCGGAUUCGGGGCGCCGGCGGGAGGCGGGUUACGAGACGUGGCGGAUUAUGGGAUGUAUUUUUUAACCCGUCACAGAUUUGGGGCGGGAGGCGGGGCGGGAUUUUGCUAGUCGGGGCAGGAGGCGGGGCGGUGCUCCCGCCCCAAAUCCGCCCCGUUUGCAUCCCUACUCGUGGGCGCGACCCAACCGAGUAUACAAGCAUGUCUCUGUCGAGCUCAAUCAUACUCAUGCAAGCUAUAAUCAAUACAAAUGGGUCAAACUUGUCUAACAACCAAAGCUCACGUGCCCUUGGCACAAUCUGAUGCAAGAUACAGAAAUUUGGGUCCACCGUCAACCAUGACGGCACCCGACAGUACGGAACAGUCUACACUCUACUGUAAAACGAGCUUGGCCCCUCAGCACGAGCGUAAUCUCAACUUACACUAAUCUG
rnacentral:lncRNA from 1 species